UCAGAAGGUCUCAGAGGGCAUAAGAGUGU
rnacentral:piRNA from 1 species